rnacentral:rRNA from 1 species
UGCUAAGGUAGCAUAAUAAUUUGUCUCUUAAUUAGAGACUAGAAUGAAUGGAAUUACGAGAGUUUACCUGUUUCUUUUUUAUUUCUAAAAACUAACUUUUAGGUGAGGAGACCUAAAUAUUAUAAAAAGACAAAAAGACCCUAUUGAGCUUGAUCUUAAUGCCGGUCAUCCAGUUUAAGAUUUUGUUGGGGCAACAAGAGAAUAACUUUAUCUUCUCUUCUUUUAUACAGAUCCGCCUAGCGAUCAAAAAAUAAAGCUACCAUAGGGAUAACAGGCUAAUUCUUUUUGAGAGACCAUAUUG